rnacentral:rRNA from 1 species
UACGUAGGGGGCAAGCGUUGUCCGGAUUUAUUGGGCGUAAAGAGCGUGUAGGCGGCUUUACAGGUCCGUUGUGAAAACUCGAGGCUCAACCUCGAGACGCCGGUGGAAACCGUAAGGCUAGAGUCCGGAAGAGGAGAGUGGAAUUCCUGGUGUAGCGGUGAAUGCGCAGAUAUCAGGAGGAACACCCGUGGCGAAAGCGGCUCUCUGGGACGGUACUGACGCUGAGACGCGAAAGCGUGGGGAGCAAACAGG